GGCGGCCGAGGCUCGGGGUGAGUGAGGGGCGGCAGGGCUCUGAGCCUGGCGGGUUCCGGCUAUUCCCUUCGCGGUCCAGUUUAGUCCACUGCGAGGGCACCUGCAGCGCCGGGAUCUGAGUGCGAAACUCCGAGCGGAAGCUGGUCUGGCAGGUCCUCUGGAGCUUGGGGCCAGGCGGGGGCGACUUGGGGGAGCCAUCCUUGGGCUCCCAGACGGACCUCCAGGACCACUGGCUGCCCAUGAGAGACGAAGGAUGGCAUCCAAGGGGGCCGGCGUGUCUUUCUCCCGCAAGAGCUGUAGGCUGACCUCAGAUGCUGAGAAAUCCAGGGUCACAGUUACUCGGGAGGCUGAGGCAGGAGAAUCGCUUGAACCGGAGAGGCGGACGUUGCAGUGAGCCGAGGUCAAACCAGUGCACUCCAGCCUGGGCAACAGAGCGAGACUCCAUCUGAAAAAGAAACAAAAAGAAAAAAAAA
ensembl:lncRNA novel transcript